GUGGAGCGGAGCGCGGAGCGGAUCCGGGGAAAUUCACCGGAGAGGCGAUUUGUUCUUCACUGGCCGACAUUUGCCGCUUGUGAGUGAAAGAGUCCAAGAUACGUCUGCACGUAACAUGUUUCUGCGAGAAUAGAGUAAUAGUCUUGUUCUUUAACCCACCUGCGACUCGGACGACACCUGCUGGCAGAUUAUAGUCGGACACUAAGUCAGCAUCACCAGCGUGUGGACAUUCUGCUCCCAGAUCAUCCUCCAGAACUCAUUGACAGUGCAAGCUAAUGGGCCCUGGGCUGCAACAAACUCCUUCCUGGAAAAGUAGCCCUGCACACAUGGACAGGCAAAAUCACUGGUCGCCAGCAGGUUUGAUUUGAGGGCGCGAUGGAGGAAGACUGGGAAAAUAGCGAUCAAUGAUUCAACAUCUCAACAGAAAGGACCCAGUCUGUGCAUCCAGUCCACAGAGCGGAACCAGUACAAGG